rnacentral:tRNA from 1 species
UAGAUUGAAGCCAGUUGUUUUGGGUGUUUAGCUGUUAACUAAAGAGUCAUGGGGUCAAAGCCCGUCAAUCUA